rnacentral:rRNA from 1 species
GCGGAGGAUCAUUACUGAAUAAAUAUUGAUAGGCUGUUGCUGGCUUUUUCCUUUCAAAGGGGGAAAUGCAGAUGUGCACGCUUGUCAUCUUUAUUUUUCUUCCACCUGUGCACUUUUUGUAGACCCUGGAGAAAAGUAAUUGUCUGAGCAAUCAGAUAGAUUGAGGACUGCCACAUUGGUUGGCUUUGCCUCAUGUCUUCAGGUUCUAUGUUAUUCACAUACUCCUAUGGAUGUAAUAGAAUGUUGACCUGUUAAUGAAACAAAAGUUGUAUACAACUUUCAGCAACGGAUCUCUUGGCUCUCGCAUCGAUGAAGAACGCAGCGAAAUGCGAUAAGUAAUGUGAAUUGCAGAAUUCAGUGAAUCAUCGAAUCUUUGAACGCAUCUUGCGCUCCUUGGUAUUCUGAGGAGCAUGCCUGUUUGAGUGUCAUUAAGUUCUCAACUACACUUCUUCUUUGAUUAGUGUGGAUUUGGAUUUGGGGGUUUGUUGGCUGCUAAAAGUCAACUCUCCUGAAAUUGAUUAGCAGUGCUAUAGCUAGAACUGUCUAUAGGUGUGAUAAUUANCUACACUCUAGAAGUCUACAUGAACAAUACUGCUUUCUAAUCUAUAAUGUUAAUGAUUAUAUUGACCNCNAAUCAGGUANGACUACCCACUGAACUUAAGCAUAUCAAUAAGCGGAGGAA